UACGUAGGGCGCAAGCGUUAUCCGGAAUUAUUGGGCGUAAAGAGUGUGUAGGCGGUGCUCCAAGUCUGUUGUGAAAUCUCCCGGCUUAACUGGGAGGGUGCGGCGGAGACUGCCGGACUGGAGGCACUCAGAGGCCGGUGGAAUUCCCGGUGUAGUGGUGAAAUGCGUAGAGAUCGGGAGGAACACCAGUGGCGAAGGCGGCCGGCUGGGGGUCGACCGUGACG
rnacentral:rRNA from 1 species